rnacentral:rRNA from 1 species
UACGUAUGGUGCAAGCGUUAUCCGGAUUUACUGGGUGUAAAGGGAGCGUAGACGGCUGUGUAAGUCUGAAGUGAAAGCCCGGGGCUCAACCCCAGGACUGCUUUGGAAACUAUGCAGCUAGAGUGUCGGAGAGGUAAGUGGAAUUCCCAGUGUAGCGGUGAAAUGCGUAGAUAUUGGGAGGAACACCAGUGGCGAAGGCGGCUUACUGGACGAUGACUGACGUUGAGGCUCGAAAGCGUGGGGAGCAAACAGG